rnacentral:rRNA from 1 species
AUGUUCCCUACUAUGGAAGACCAUAAUGAUGAUCUUGAUGAUCACGAAAAAUCUACACAUUCCACCCCAUCAGUAACAGCAAAUAUAAGUACUAUACCUUGCCAGGAGAAACAUAAAAUUCCUCCACAAGUAGUACAAGUUUCUAAAAAGCGCCUGCCACAUCAAUCUACAUAUGAGAAUUUGAUCAAACGGAUAAAGAUGCUUGAAGACCAGUACACAGCCGAUCGACAAAGGUUAAUAACUGUGUCUGAAUGCAAGCUUCAAAACAAAGUGCAACAGCUUCAAAUAAAGAAAACCAAGGAAAUGGCAGCCUUGGUCCAGGAAGAGAUUCAGAAGGCUAUGUUACCGAUGAUUGAUGAUGCACGUCCAGGAAGUUCUCUGCAUAAUGAUGAUGCAACUUUGACCAAAGGAACUGUAGGAACACAAAGUCCAUGUCGCUCCAAUCUAGAUGAAGUUGUUCUAAUUUCUUCCCAGUCUUCUCAACGUGUUCACGAAACUAGCAUUCAUGUUGAUGUCAUCCCACAGUUGACAGUCGGAACACCUUCAUCUCCAACCUUCAUGAAUGAAACUGUAGAAAUCGGUACUCAUGAAUCAGAACCAGCAGCCAAUUUGGUGAACAUUGAAGGUGUCGAAGAUGACAACUUCCAUCCUACUUCGCCAAUGAUUGCUCACAUUACUCAGUACGAUCCUUCUUCUUCUAAAGAAUUGGCUACCACAGAUCAGAUUGUUGAGGCUGAACCUGCUGCUUGUAAAGAUCCAUUGGUGGAAAGCAUUUGCACUUUUCAAAAUCUCAAGUCUGACGCUAAAGCAUGUUCUGCAACAACCGCCAUACAAAGACAAGAGAGUUCUAUUGCCAAUGUUUUACCGUCGUCAAAUAUAUGUGCUUCUACACAUCCCCCAGAAUUAGUCUCUACAGUCAUCAUUCCCACAACUGCAAUUAUCAUUCCCAACAAUGCUGCCAACCAAGUCCCGUCACAUCAUGUUCAAACUGAGAAAAGCAACAUGCCAAGUGAAGAUUCAUCAAUCAUGAAGUUUGUUGUUACUGAUGGUCAAGCGGAUAGUGCUUCUCUUGUACCUGUUACUAGUGCUAUUAAUGUGCCUGGACAUGGCAACCCAGGGGAUCAUCCAGAGAAUAUUGCCUUCAUUGAUCCAAAAUCAACAAAAUCUUCAUCUGAAAUAGAUGUUUCUGAUGCACAGAAAGCUACAAAGAAUGAUAGUUUCUCACACUAUCCUGCCUCAGAUGUUGUUCAACUACAACAUACAGAGAAGACGACACUUGAAGAUGACAUUCAGAACCAAUCGAAUGAUCAUUUGGGGAAUCUUGAUGUGAGCAAAAAUGAUAUUCAAUCAACAAAAUAUAUUGAAAAUUCUGAUAUUGAUUCCACUUCAAAAGAUGUUCCAAAUAUUUCUUCCUCACCUUUAUCCAUACAAAUAAUAGACCAUUCAAAGUUACCUGAUGAUAUGCCAAAAGCAAGCACUAUACCAUCAGAUAUCACUAUGCAAAUUGGUCAAACCUCACCAAAGGAAUCCUCAGCAAUGCAAGAUUCUGAUCAAAAAAUACUAGACAAAUGUAUGAAAAUGAUUCUAUGUACGACACCGAAUCCAGCACCUGCAAAUGAUAACAACGAAUCACUCAGUCUUGCUAUCAAUGAAGUGCUUAGUGAAAACUUAGAACAAACUCUUGCAUUAGCAGAAAUACAGACUCAGUGCACUGCAGGAGACAAUGAAUCAUCAUCUUGUCAGAUGGAUAUUACUGGAAAAAAACAAGAUGAAUCCCAAGAACAUCCUUCCGACAAUUCAGUUGCAGAAGUAUGUUCUGAGCGCACCGAAGAUGAUGAUAUAUCUAAAGUGGGCAAGCAAGAUUCAGACUCUCAUACUUCUCAUUUAACUCCUAGACACAUCUUCAGAGAUAUAGAGAUAGUUCACAUAGCCGAGGAAGCUUUAUCUCCUAAAACAAUUGAUUGUGGUACCAAGAUCAGGAUAGGUCCAGCUUCUGUAACAGAAAGAGAGUUAGUACAAUGCCUAAUGCCAAAAGGAAAGAUGUGCAAAAAUAUGAUGUGGUUACUGUCCGUCGCAUUUAUGUAUGAUUGGGGAUCAAAGACCAAGCUUAUAUUGGACCAGACUAUUAUACUAUUUCUGCCCACAAUAUCUGACAACCAUUGGAUUCUGGUUGUCAUUAACCUCACGCAAAACACAAUUGAAAUUUAUGACUCUAACUUAGAAGUCAAAGAAGGUGAAGACCCGCACAAGGUUAUGUUGGAGAACAUGGCCAGCAAUCUCCAAAAAUCAUUGAAUGAUUGUCUCCACAAGAGUGCUUUCACAUUUACGGAUUUCUCCAAGAAGUAUUGUUAUGUUGGAAAACAAACAAACAAUGAUGACUGUGGUUUCUGGGUUAUUAAAGUCCUUCUGUGUCACAAUGGCAAAGAGCUCAUUGGAAAUUACAAGUGGGCAAUGGAUAUCUUCGGGAAGGAAAUAUGA